rnacentral:rRNA from 1 species
UACGUAGGGGGGCAAGCGUUGUCCGGAUUUAUUGGGCGUAAAGAGCGUGUAGGCGGCCAGGUAGGUCCGUUGUGAAAACUCGAGGCUCAACCUCGAGACGUCGAUGGAAACCAUCUGGCUAGAGUACGGAAGAGGCGAGUGGAAUUCCUGGUGUAGCGGUGGAAUGCGCAGAUAUCAGGAGGAACACCGAUGGCGAAGGCAGCUCGCUGGGACGGUACUGACGCUCAUGCACGAAAGCGUGGGGAGCAAACAGG